UUACGGCCAUAUCACAUUUAAGCACCGGUUCCUGUACGUUCACCGAAGUUAAGCAAUGUCGAGUCCAGUCAGUACCUUGAUGAGUGACCACUUGUGAAUACUAGGUGCUGUAAG